rnacentral:rRNA from 1 species
UACGUAGGGUGCAAGCGUUGUCCGGAAUUAUUGGGCGUAAAGGGCUCGUAGGCGGUCCAUCGCGUCGGGAGUGAAAAGCUGGGGCUCAACCCCAGUCCUGCUUCCGAUACGGGUGGACUAGAGGUAGGCAGGGGAGAACGGAAUUCCUGGUGUAGCGGUGAAAUGCGCAGAUAUCAGGAGGAACACCGGUGGCGAAGGCGGAUCUCUGGGCCUUACCUGACGCUCAGGUGCGAAAGCUAGGGGAGCGAACAGG